CUAGUUUGGACUGCGAAUGGCUCAUUAUAUCAGUUAUAGUUUAUUUGGUGAAGUGUACUACUUGGAUAACCGUAGUAAUUCUAGGGCUAAUACAUGAGAAAGUCCUCUGGUGAGGUGUGUUUAUUAGAAUGAAAACCAUAUGCUUCGGCAUGAUAGUGAGUAAUAGUAACCUAUCGUAUCGCAUGCUUAAUGUAGCGAUGAGUCUUUCAAGUUUCUGCCCUAUCAGCUUUCGAUGGUAGUAUAUGGGCCUACCAUGGCAGUAACGGGUAACGAAGAA
rnacentral:rRNA from 1 species